GGUUGUAUAGUGUAGCGGUUAUCACUCCGGAUUCUGAUGGAUACACUUUGUUUCCAGAAAAUUUCUUCCGGCAACCCCGGUUCGAUUCCGGGUACGACCU